AGGGUCCUACGGGGGGCAGCAGUGGGGAAUAUUGCACAAUGGGGGGAACCCUGAUGCAGCGACGCCUCGUGAGGGAAGAAGUAUUUCGGUAUGUAAAGCUCUAUCAGCAGGGAAGAUAAUGACGGUACCUGACUAAGAAGCCCCGGCUAACUACGUGCCAGCAGCCGCGGUAAUACGGGGGGUGCAAGCGUUGUCCGGAAUCAUUGGGCGUAAAGAGUUCGUAGGCGGCACGUAAAGUCUGGUGUUAAAGGCAGAGGCUCAACUUCUGUACGGCACUG
rnacentral:rRNA from 1 species